rnacentral:rRNA from 1 species
CUCAGAUUGAACGCUGGCGGCAGGCCUAACACAUGCAAGUCGAGCGGUAGAGAGAAGCUUGCUUCUCUUGAGAGCGGCGGACGGGUGAGUAAUGCCUAGGAAUCUGCCUGGUAGUGGGGGAUAACGUUCGGAAACGGACGCUAAUACCGCAUACGUCCUACGGGAGAAAGCAGGGGACCUUCGGGCCUUGCGCUAUCAGAUGAGCCUAGGUCGGAUUAGCUAGUUGGUGAGGUAAUGGCUCACCAAGGCGACGAUCCGUAACUGGUCUGAGAGGAUGAUCAGUCACACUGGAACUGAGACACGGUCCAGACUCCUACGGGAGGCAGCAGUGGGGAAUAUUGGACAAUGGGCGAAAGCCUGAUCCAGCCAUGCCGCGUGUGUGAAGAAGGUCUUCGGAUUGUAAAGCACUUUAAGUGGGAGGAAGGGUUGUAGAUUAAUACUCUGCAAUUUUGACGUUACCGACAGAAUAAGCACCGGCUAACUCUGUGCCAG